rnacentral:rRNA from 14 species
AUCUCAGAUUAGGUAAGACUACCCGCUGAAUUUAAGCAUAUAAUUAAGCGGAGGAAAAGAAACUAACAAGGAUUCCCCUAGUAACGGCGAGUGAACCGGGAAGAGCUCAAGCUGAAAAUCUUCGGAAUUGUGGUCUAUAGGUGCGGACUCGCGCAGCCCCAGGUAUAAAUCCGUUCUUGGAAUUGGGUGCCAGAGAGGGUUAGAGCCCCGUCUUUGACUUGGGUAGCUGUGCGUGGCGAGUCUUUACCGGAGAGUCGGCUUGCUUGGGAAUGCAGGCCAAAAUGGGUGGUAAACUUCAUCUAAAGCUAAAUAUUGGCGAGAGACCGAUAGCGAACAAGUACCGUGAGGGAAAGAUGAAAAGCACUUUGGAAAGAGAGUUAAACAGUACGUGAAAUUGUUGAAAGGGAAGCGUUUGCGGCCAGACUU